CAGUUAAAGUAUCGUUAACCUUAGCUAAUGCAAAUGAUUAGCCAUAUUUUCCAGAAAGGUUGCAAGAGAUUUAUUAGUGUUUGGAAGAGUCUGCUGGUCAUCAUUUUUCCUGUAUGGCAGUUAGCAGGACAGAGUCGAUUGGAUGAAGUGAGAUAUUCACAACUAUCACAUAAUAUAAUAAAUAUACAGAAAAUUAAAACGCCAAAGUCCUCAACUGACAGUCAAUGCAGCAUUAACGUUACACUGAAAGCCGUGCUUUUGACAACGACAUACUGAACUAUUUAGCUAACUCUGUGAAUAAAAGUUAGCAAGCUAACGUUAGCUGGUAAACAUCCAUCCAGAGCCAUGUUGACGCUCACAGCCUGCUAGAGAUUAGCUCCGACACAAGCAAUCACUGCAAAUCAACGAUACCUGCUAAAACUAGCAUCAGUUUGAUCUUUGCACCAGUGUGUCCCUGCCAUCCAGGACGGCUUGAUGAGGCUUGCAGUGCAACGCUGAGUUUCACAGCAGACUCCAGCUGCGCAGGGCAGGGAUCGGCUAGCUGCAGCACAGGAGGUCACACCACGGCUCUUCCAAACAGCCACGUAUCAGGAUCCUGGAGGAGGGAAUACACUAUAAACAGGAGGGGAGCCAGGACAUGGAUCCCGCCCCACCAAAGAUUUCAGGAAGUAUCCUGCACACCGGACAGCAGUGCACUCAAAUGAGGUCCUUGAGGACAACAUUGACGAGGCAACUAGAACUGCCAGCAGUUAUGACGGGGUCUAUGCCUCCUGCAAGAGUCCCUCUCGACGACCCGCAGAGUCCGCGAAAGUCAAAGCCUAGUGUGACGCAGCAAGGCAAACAUCAGGAAAUAUUGCACCGUGUGAGCUGACAGCCUUGGCUGAUAGUUGAAUCUUGUGGAGUCCAGAGAAAAUGAGGAAUCAGGAAUAAGAAGUGAGAGGGCUGGAUGUCCCCUUGCAUGCAUGUCAAGCGACUGUUCCAUGUCAUUGUGAAACACAUGAUGGCCACUGAAACCUCUGGUGACUAUCAGCCAGGAAGCAUGAGCCCUCUCCGUGGACUGUCCUACCACGUAAUAUUCAAUGUCAUUUUCACUUGUUUUUGUAGAUUUCAUAAGAAUCCUAUGUGAAAAAGCCCACUAGUUGAUCCAACGUUAGGCUACAACCUUGUAGAUGCACGCUUGCUGGAUUGCUUGUCAGGCUCACUGAUGAUGUUGUGCCUGUUGACAGCUCAGAUCGUGCGGUGCAAAAUUGCAUUGCAUGUCAGAGUGACAAUUUCUUCCGCCGGUUGGUAAUUUGUGUCUCACAGUGUAAUAAGGCCUACAGAUAUAAUGAAUCAUCUGACAAUUUUUUUUUUUUAGUUUGAAAUUUGCAUUCAUUCCUGCACUGGAAUUCUGCUAUUUUCAUUGUUAAAUGGCCAAUGUUCAUAUGCAUAUAAAGGAAACCUUAUCACAUAAUUACAUAUGUAAGAUGUUUACCGAGCUCUUCUUAAAUUUAGUUUCUUUUUCAAUAAAUUUAGUGCACAAAACAAACAACAUGCACAUUUAAUUGUUGUAAAAUGUUUGCUUAUUUGUUUAUAUAAUUGUAAGUUAGUGUCUUCUAAAAAUUCUUUGCAGUGUAUUAUGUAUGAUCAAACCUUUCAGUAUCUUUUAAAAACAUACAGUAUAACUGCACAUUGUCACUAUGCACCUUCUGCAGAUAAAAGGUGGUUUUAUUUUGAUAAAAGGCCACAAAACACCAUGGAACUGUAGCGGCUGCUCUUUUCUAAAAAAUGAGCUCCUCUUAUUCAGGCAGUGAGAUCUAAUAAAAAAAAUGAAUGAGCUGAUUUGAAUGCUGAAAUCUGUCACACCCAAUUGCAUGCCUCAUUUUACAAACAUAGCUCUGUAAAUACAUGCAUUUUUUAAUUCUAUCACUGCUUUUUUUUUUUUAAAUAUAGUUGCUUUCAUUGUAUCGUGAAUGUUUAGUCAUUAAUAUACAGCAAAUUUGAAAAUGAAAAUAGGUUCUGCACCUAAGUCCAAUGUAGGCCACAGUCUUUCGACUAAGGAUGUCAAGAUGUGACAAAAUGAACUUAACUCAUCAGCAUCAGGAGUUCACACUGUUACAGCUUUAAAAACUCGUUUUGUAGGAAGAGUUUGUCACCUUCUUGUUUUAAUAAGGAAGAAGAAGAAGGAGAAGAAGAACAAGAAGAAGAAGCUUUAUAGGACCAACCUAAAUUGGUAGAUUUAAGGAAGUUUUUAGUUCCCCUGCUAAUUCAGAGAUAUAUAGAAAGCCUGCAUUUUUCAACCACCUUUGGCAAUUUGCUUCCAGUAGUUCAACAACUCCCCUGUGGACACCUUUACACUUCAUCAAUGGAUGUUGUACAGAGGGCGACGGUAAGACCCAAACACAUUUGUUCUCCGAGUUUGACUGUGGUUGCUUCCUGACUUUCCUUAUACGAGCACGCUGAGAUAGGGUUUUGGUAUUACUUUGUGUAUUGAAUACAGUGUUGAGUUUAUGAUCUGAAACUUCUGGUAGACAGUAGUAUACUUGCAGUAUUCUUUUAUUUUAUCAAUUACAGAACUGUGUUUUUUGUUGGUUAUGCCAUUUUUGUAAGAAUUCAUACAAGAUUUAAACUAGUUUACUUUAUUACUAAUAGCCUGCUUAGAUAGCCUGACCUGAUAGAUGGCAGUUUAAAUGUGUUGCAUUGUUUUCCUCUGCAAGGCUGAACCAUAUUUUAUUUACUAAAAGUGCCCAAAUCAACAAGAAAUGUAGUUUGUUUCAAUUAUUUUGGGGUGGUUAGUAAUGUAUUCCUGUUUUUUUUAUAAAAGACUACUAACUAUAAACUUUGUACUGUCUUGGAUAAUUAUUAUUUUUUUGCUAUAUACAACAAAAUAAGUUAUUUGCAUUCAUCUAAUAUAAAGAAUAGGGCACUGCCUGAGCGAUUUUUAUGUUUUCUUUUUUUUCUGACAAAACCUUUAUUUUUUUAACUGAAUUACUCAACUAGCUCAAAAGAAAUGGUGAGCAAAGACGAUUACGAAAUUUGAAUACUGCCACAGGAGUUACAGAGUGUGGACAUCAACCUGCAGUCAUUCUGGUCAAACUGAUGUUCUGCAGAGGAGGAGUGCAACACUUCCUGUUGCGACGUUGCCUGUAUCCUGUUUUCCACAGUCAGUGGUCAUGCGUGUCAUUCCCCUCUGCGAGGCUCUGUUGGCACAAUCUCGUGAUCUUGUGGUGUGAAUCUUAUGAGACUGAAUUGAGGGAGACUCCACAUGUCUGAGAAAAAACUGAAUGUCAGCAAAAAAUAUAUCUAAGAGCACAAUAAAUGUAUCCACAACUGUUGGGAAAUAGCUAUGACUUUGGUGUGUCUUGCUAAAAGUUGAUGAGGAAGACUACAGUAAAUAGCAUGCUUUUUUAAUUGUAUAAUCCCUUUGUUAAGUAAGCAGUAGCAGUACUUCCUUCAAAAUAUGUGUAGCCUCUUAAAAUAAAUGCAUACAGAGAUAGUAAUGAGAACAUUGACACCUCCACACAGCAGGCCCGAAGAUUGAGGGACCAAUGUAACCAUUUGCGUGCUUGGGAGGGCUUCAACCAUCAAAGAUAUGUAUCUUGUGACUGCAUUCAGACAGAAAACUGUGAAGUGCUCAGUUACACCCUGUUGUGGGACAAAACCAGAAGGCAGCACUCGGUCAGAGCUACUGCAAGUCACAAGUAUGUAACUUCACAGUGUGUCACAUUUAAAAAUAUAACAAUGCUGGAAACUUACAGUAUAUCUUGUUGGAGGUGUUAUUUUUAUAGAGAUUCAGUCACUGCUGGUGGACACAAUAAUAUGUACACCUGCUCAGUGUAAGGCACUCCAAUACAUUAGCCCUUUAAUAAUUUUUUUGCCAGUCAUAGUUAGUAUUUGCUUGCUAUUAUUUGCACAAAGACUGGUAAUGGGGGAAACAGCAAUCCUGGUUUUUUUUAAAGGCCUACCAGCACCCCUAAAGCCCUGACACACCAACCCGAUGGAUGACCGUUGGCAGAAAAGGCAGUCAGACUGAUCAGAACACACUCAUUUGGGUUCCUUGAGUCAAUAUAUUAAGCCAACUGUCACUUAUCUAGGGGUGAAAAUUGACCCUGAUCUUAAGCUUGACAGACAGAUUAGGUCAGUAGUUAAAACAAGUUUUUUUCAUUUGAGGCAAUUGGCCAAAAUAAAGUCAUUCCUUUCUAAGCAGCAUUUUGAGACAGUAAUCCACGCCUUUGUCACUACUCGGCUGGAUUACUGCAAUGCACUGUAUGUGGGGGUCAGUGGGUCCUCUAUUGCUCGUCUCCAGCUGGUGCAAAACGCUGCUGCACAUCUUUUAACUGGAACACGUAAAUACGACCAUAUUUCCCCCAUUUUAUCGUCACUGCAUUGGCUCCUUAUAUAUCACAGGAUACAUUUUAAGAUCCUUUUAUUUGCUUUUAAAGGCCAAAAUGGCCUUGCCCCUCCUUACAUCUCUGAGCUGCUAAACCCCUAUAGACCCACCCGUUCUCUCAGGUCAGCCGAUCAACUGCUCCUAAGUGUGCCGAAAACAAAGCGCAAGCUAAAAGGGGACCGUGCCUUUUCUGUAGCAGCUCCUAAAUUGUGGAACGAUUUACCACUGCACAUUAGACAGGCAUCUUCACUGUCUAUUUUUAAGUCUCUUCUUAAAACCUAUCUUUAUUCUUUGGCCUUUGAAAACUGAAAUUGACAAUUCAUGUUUGGUUAUACUGAUAGUAUUGGUUUCAUUGUAUUGAUUUUUAUUGUUUGUACUUGUAUUAUAUGGGUCAUGUGAGUUUUUGUAUUU